AACGAACGCUGGCGGCAGGCUUAACACAUGCAAGUCGAGCGCCCCGCAAGGGGAGCGGCAGACGGGUGAGUAACGCGUGGGAAUCUACCCAUCCCUACGGAAUAGCUCCGGGAAACUGGAAUUAAUACCGUAUACGCCCUACGGGGGAAAGAUUUAUCGGGGAUGGAUGAGCCCGCGUUGGAUAGCUAGUUGGUGGGGUAAAGGCCUACCAAGGCGACGAUCCAUAGCUGGUCUGAGAGGAUGAUCAGCCACAUUGGGACUGAGACACGGCCCAAACUCCUGCGGGAGGCAGCAGUGGGGAAUAUUGGACAAUGGGGGCAACCCUGAUCCAGCCAUGCCGCGUGAGUGAUGAAGGCCUUAGGGUUGUAAAGCUCUUUCACCGGGGAAGAUAAUGACGGUACCCGGAGAAGAAGCCCCGGCUAACUUCGUGCCAGCCGCCGCAGUAA
rnacentral:rRNA from 1 species